rnacentral:rRNA from 1 species
GGGGAAUAUUGCACAAUGGGGGGAACCCUGAUGCAGCGAUGCCGCGUGGAGGAAGAAGGUUUUCGGAUUGUAAACUCCUUUUAACAGGGACGAUAAUGACGGUACCUGAAGAAAAAGCUCCGGCUAACUACGUGCCAGCAGCCGCGGUAAUACGUAGGGAGCGAGCGUUGUCCGGAAUUACUGGGUGUAAAGGGAGCGUAGGCGGGACGGUAAGUCAGGUGUGAAAUAUACGUGCUCAACAUGUAGACUGCACUUGAAACUGCUGUUCUUGAGUGAAGUAGAGGUAAGCGGAAUUCCUAGUGUAGCGGUGAAAUGCGUAGAUAUUAGGAGGAACAUCGGUGGCGAAGGCGGCUUACUGGGCUUUUACUGACGCUGAGGCUCGAAAGCGUGGGGAGCAAACAGGAUUAGAUACCCUGGUAGUCCACGCUGUAAACGAUGAUUACUAGGUGUGGGGGGACUGACCCCUUCCGUGCCGCAGUUAACACAAUAAGUAAUCCACCUGGGGAGUACGACCGCAAGGUUGAAACUCAAAGGAAUUGACGGGGGCCCGCACAAGCAGUGGAGUAUGUGGUUUAAUUCGAAGCAACGCGAAGAACCUUACCAGGUCUUGACAUCGUAUGCAUAGUCUAGAGAUAGAUGAAAUCCCUUCGGGGACAUAUAGACAGGUGGUGCAUGGUUGUCGUCAGCUCGUGUCGUGAGAUGUUGGGUUAAGUCCCGCAACGAGCGCAACCCUUACCUUUAGUUGCUACGCAAGAGCACUCUAGAGGGACUGCCGUUGACAAAACGGAGGAAGGUGGGGAUGACGUCAAAUCAUCAUGCCCCUUAUGACCUGGGCUACACACGUACUACAAUGGCCGUUAACAAAGGGAAGCAAUACCGCGAGGUGGAGCAAAACCCCAAAAACGGUCCCAGUUCGGAUUGUAGGCUGCAACCCGCCUGCAUGAAGUUGGAAUUGCUAGUAAUCGCAGAUCAGAAUGCUGCGGUGAAUACGUUCCCG